rnacentral:rRNA from 1 species
GUGGGGAAUAUUGCGCAAUGGGCGGAAGCCUGACGCAGCCACGCCGCGUGAGCGAUGAAGGCCUUCGGGUCGUAAAGCUCUGUGGGGAGAGAAGAACCAAGCCUGUGAAGAGCGGGCCCUGACGGUAUCUCCUUAGCAAGCACCGGCUAACUCCGUGCCAGCAGCCGCGGUAAUACGGAGGGUGCAAACGUUGCUCGGAAUCAUUGGGCGUAAAGCGCACGUAGGCGGUUUCGCAAGUUGGAUGUGAAAGCCCUGGGCUCAACCUAGGAAGUGCAUCCAAAACUGCGAGACUUGAGUCCCAGAGGGGGUCGGAGAAUUCCCGGUGUAGAGGUGAAAUUCGUAGAUAUCGGGAGGAAUACCAGUGGCGAAGGCGCCGACCUGGAGGGGUACUGACGCUGAGGUGCGAAAGCGUGGGGAGCAAACAGGAUUAGAAACCCGAGUAGUCC